rnacentral:rRNA from 1 species
AACAAUAUGUUGUACCAUUUAUUCGCUAAUGGUUAAGUUAGAAAGGGCGCACGGUGAAUGCCUUGGCACUAGGAGCCGAUGAAGGACGGGACUAACACCGAUAUGCUUCGGGGAGCUGUAAGUGAGCUUUGAUCCGGAGAUUUCCGAAUGGGGAAACCCACUGUUCGUAAUGGAACAGUAUCUUUAUCUGAAUACAUAGGAUAUUGAAGGCAGACCCGGGGAACUGAAACAUCUAAGUACCCGGAGGAAGAGAAAGCAAAUGCGAUUUCCUGAGUAGCGGCGAGCGAAACGGAAUUAGCCCAAACCAAGAGGCUUGCCUCUUGGGGUUGUAGGACACUCUAUACGGAGUUACAAAGGAACGAAGUAAAUGAAGCGACCUGGAAAGGUCCGUCGAAGAAGGUAACAACCCUGUAGUUGAAACUUCGUUCCCUCUUGAGUGGAUCCUGAGUACGGCGGAACACGUGAAAUUCCGUCGGAAGCUGGGAGGACCAUCUCCCAAGGCUAAAUACUACCUAGUGACCGAUAGUGAACCAGUACCGUGAGGGAAAGGUGAAAAGCACCCCGGAAGGGGAGUGAAAGAGAUCCUGAAACCGUGUGCCUACAAGUAGUCAGAGCCCGUUAAUGGGUGAUGGCGUGCCUUUUGUAGAAUGAACCGGCGAGUUACGAUCCCAUGCAAGGUUAAGCUGAUAAGGCGGAGCCGUAGCGAAAGCGAGUCUGAAUAGGGCGUUUAGUAUGUGGUUGUAGACCCGAAACCAGGUGAUCUACCCAUGUCCAGGGUGAAGUUCAGGUAACACUGAAUGGAGGCCCGAACCCACGCACGUUGAAAAGUGCGGGGAUGAGGUGUGGGUAGCGGAGAAAUUCCAAUCGAACCUGGAGAUAGCUGGUUCUCUCCGAAAUAGCUUUAGGGCUAGCCUCAUGUUGUGAGAGUCUUGGAGGUAGAGCACUGAUUGGACUAGGGGCCCCCAACGGGUUACCGAAUUCAGUCAAACUCCGAAUGCCAAAGACUUAUCCAUGGGAGUCAGACUGCGAGUGAUAAGAUCCGUAGUCAAAAGGGAAACAGCCCAGACCACCAGCUAAGGUCCCCAAGUAUACGUUAAGUGGAAAAGGAUGUGGAGUUGCUUAGACAACCAGGAUGUUGGCUUAGAAGCAGCCACCAUUUAAAGAGUGCGUAAUAGCUCACUGGUCGAGUGACUCUGCGCCGAAAAUGUACCGGGGCUAAACGUAUCACCGAAGCUGUGGAUUGACAUCUUUGAUGUCAGUGGUAGGAGAGCGUUCUAAGUGCAGCGAAGUCAGAUCGUAAGGACUGGUGGAGCGCUUAGAAGUGAGAAUGCCGGUAUGAGUAGCGAAAGACAAGUGAGAAUCUUGUCCACCGAAUGCCUAAGGUUUCCUGAGGAAGGCUCGUCCGCUCAGGGUUAGUCGGGACCUAAGCCGAGGCUGAAAAGCGUAGGCGAUGGCCAACAGGUUGAUAUUCCUGUACCACCUCCCCGCCGUUUGAGUAAUGGGGGGACGCAGUAGGAUAGGGUAAGCGCGCUGCUGGAUAUGCGCGUUCAAGCAGUUAGGCUGAUGAGUAGGCAAAUCCGCUCAUCAUAAAGGCUGAGCUGUGAUGACGAGGGAAUUAUAGUACCGAAGUUCCUGAUUCCACACUGCCAAGAAAAGCCUCUAGCGAGGCGGGAGGUGCCCGUACCGCAAACCGACACAGGUAGGCGAGGAGAGAAUCCUAAGGUGAUCGAGAGAACUCUCGUUAAGGAACUCGGCAAAAUGACCCCGUAACUUCGGGAGAAGGGGUGCUCUGGUAGGGUGUAUAGCCCGAGAGAGCCGCAGUGAAUAGGCCCAGGCGACUGUUUAGCAAAAACACAGGUCUCUGCGAAGCCGCAAGGCGAAGUAUAGGGGCUGACGCCUGCCCGGUGCUGGAAGGUUAAGAGGAGGGGUUAUCCUUUGGGAGAAGCUCUGAAUCGAAGCCCCAGUAAACGGCGGCCGUAACUAUAACGGUCCUAAGGUAGCGAAAUUCCUUGUCGGGUAAGUUCCGACCCGCACGAAAGGCGUAACGAUCUGGGCACUGUCUCAACGAGAGACUCGGUGAAAUUAUAGUACCUGUGAAGAUGCAGGUUACCCGCGACAGGACGGAAAGACCCCGUGGAGCUUUACUGUAGCCUGAUAUUGAAUUUUGGUACAGCUUGUACAGGAUAGGUAGGAGCCUGAGAAGCCGGAGCGCUAGCUUCGGUGGAGGCGUCGGUGGGAUACUACCCUGGCUGUAUUGAAAUUCUAACCCGCGGCCCUGAUCGGGCCGGGAGACAGUGUCAGGUGGGCAGUUUGACUGGGGCGGUCGCCUCCUAAAAUGUAACGGAGGCGCCCAAAGGUUCCCUCAGAAUGGUUGGAAAUCAUUCGUAGAGUGUAAAGGCACAAGGGAGCUUGACUGCGAGACCUACAAGUCGAGCAGGGACGAAAGUCGGGCUUAGUGAUCCGGUGGUUCCGCAUGGAAGGGCCAUCGCUCAACGGAUAAAAGCUACCCCGGGGAUAACAGGCUUAUCUCCCCCAAGAGUCCACAUCGACGGGGAGGUUUGGCACCUCGAUGUCGGCUCAUCGCAUCCUGGGGCUGUAGUCGGUCCCAAGGGUUGGGCUGUUCGCCCAUUAAAGCGGUACGCGAGCUGGGUUCAGAACGUCGUGAGACAGUUCGGUCCCUAUCCGUCGUGGGCGUAGGAAAUUUGAGAGGAGCUGUCCUUAGUACGAGAGGACCGGGAUGGACACACCGCUGGUGUACCAGUUGUCUUGCCAAAGGCAUCGCUGGGUAGCUAUGUGUGGACGGGAUAAGUGCUGAAAGCAUCUAAGCAUGAAGCCCCCCUCAAGAUGAGAUUUCCCAUAGCGCAAGCUAGUAAGAUCCCUGAAAGAUGAUCAGGUUGAUAGGUCAGAGGUGGAAGCGUGGCGACAUGUGUAGCUGACUGAUACUAAUCGAUCGAGGACUUAACCAA